rnacentral:tRNA from 1 species
GGAGGUGAGCGGGGCCCGGUGGCUCCCGCGGUCUUCAAAAUCGUCGCGCCGCUUCAUCGCGGCAGGUGGGUUCAACUCCCAUUCACCUCCGCCA